rnacentral:rRNA from 1 species
GACAGAGGUGCCGAGCGUUAGGCGGAAUCACUGGGCUUAAAGCGUGUGUAGGCGGAGGCCUAAGUACCUUGUGAAAUCCCACGGCUCAACCGUGGAACUGCUUGGUAUACUGGGUCUCUUGAGCCACCUAGGGGCAAGUGGAACAAACGGUGGAGCGGUGAAAUGCGUAGAUAUCGGAAGGAACACCUGUGGCGAAAGCGGCUCACUGGACCAUUACUGACGCUGAGGCACGAAAGCUAGGGGAGCAAACAGG